rnacentral:rRNA from 1 species
UACGAGUGCCUCGAGCGUUAUCCGGAAUCAUUGGGCGUAAAGGGUGUGUAGGUGGUCAUAUUAGUCUUCUGUUAAAUUCUUCGGCUUAACCGGGGGUCUGCAGAGGAAACGGUAUGACUUGAGGGUGCAAGAGGUCUCUGGAACUCAUGGUGUAGCGGUGAAAUGCGUUGAUAUCAUGGGGAACACCAAAAGCGAAGGCAAGAGACUGGGGCACUCCUGACACUGAAACACGAAAGCGUGGGUAGCGAAUGGG